UGCUGCUUUUCCUCAAGAUUCACAGUUCCCAAAAUAGCUGUGUCCUUUGUAAAGUAAUGAAGAAGAUUUCCGAGUAAGGUUAAGGUCCCUUUCCCAACAUGCUGCAAGAAGUUGAGGUAGAGAUCAUAAGUAAUGACACAUGUAAUCAAGUUCAUGUGUAUGGUGGUGCCGUAUCAUCAGGAAUGAUAUGUGCUGGAUUCUUGUCAGGAAAACUAGAUGCCUGUAAGGGUGAUUCUGGAGGUCCUCUGGUUAUUGCACGUGAUAGAAACGCCUGAUACCUUGUUGGAAUAGUAAGCUGGGGGAUAGACUGUGGAAAAGAGAACAAGCCGGGACUCUAUACCAAAGUGACUCAUUAUCGAGACUGGAUUAAAUCUAAAACUAACAUCUAAUGCAACAAUCAUCUCAAAUCCAAACUAUAAAUGUAAUGUGUGGUCUCUAGAAAAUUGUGUUUAGUGUGUGUCGCCAUGUGUAUUAUCUUCGAGUUCAAAAUCCAAAAAAGUGUGAUCUAAUGACUUUCCCCUUAAACACGGAGAAGGCAGGCUUUCCUUCACAUCAUCUGAAGUGUUUUUCUCCUAUGGGCACAGAAGAUAUUUCAGCUAUACAAAGAUCUACCAUUGCUGCUAAGUGUCUCUGAUUUGUUCAUUUUUCUUCUUCUAAGACAUACAAUAUUCCUUUCAGAGUGAACUGGCAGUUGAAUCAGAUAAGAACCAAUUGGCUAAGCAUGCUCUACUUUUUCACUGAAACGGCAUGCCUCCCGUACCUGAUGGCUCCACAGCUUUAGUCUCUCUUGUCAAAUAUUCCUCAUUAAGAAUGUGUGGGUUCACUGAACUAGAUAAGUCAAGGUUAUUAAUUUUCACCAUUGUUAACACAAAUGAUGGAAGGGACACUAGGCAUGAAACUAGGGCUUAAGAGAUGGCACUACUGUGAAUCCAUUCCCCUUUGCCCUCAGAAGUGCAUUUAACUUCCUUAGAAACUUGAAAAAGAUUGACAUUUAUAUUUACACUCAAUGAUGUAGAUUUUAGUCUCUUUAAACAAUUACACUGAUGUUUAUUUUGGAGCAAUCAAUAAAUCCCUGUCAAGAGAACUGUCAAGAUUGCUUUGUACAGGAUUCUGCUCUAAACUAUGUAAAAAUGCUUUUAUAUACUCAUAAAUUAAAGGCAACCUUUCUUGGCAUUUUUAAGUUGAAAGGAAAAGAGGCAAUGAUUCAGUGAGAAAGAGCUAGUUUCACUUUCAUCUUUAAAAUGAGAGAAGUUUCAAUCUUUGCAUAAACUUACUUUUCACUUUUUAAAAUUAUCUCAAUGUAUUUUCUUUAAACAAUUUUCAACAAACUUCAGAACAAUUAAGGGUUCUGCAGAAUGGGAAAUCAAUAUAAAUUAGAUAUUCAGAAACA